UACGUAGGGAGCAAGCGUUGUUCGGAUUUACUGGGCGUAAAGGGCGCGUAGGCGGCGCGGUAAGUCACUUGUGAAAUCUCUGAGCUUAACUCAGAACGGCCAAGUGAUACUGCAGUGCUAGAGUGCAGAAAGGGCAAUCGGAAUUCUUGGCGUAGCGGUGAAAUGCGUAGAUAUCAAGAGGAACACCUGAGGCGAAGGCGGGUUGCUAGGCUGACACUGACGCUGAGUGCGCGAAAGCCAGGGGAGCAAACGGG
rnacentral:rRNA from 1 species